rnacentral:misc_RNA from 1 species
GAGAGAAGCAAAAGGGAAAGGGUCUAAGAAUGAGCUGAACACAUUGUUUACAACUAUUGACCUGCAUAAAGGUCCAUUACUCUAGAGGUUGUGGAAUGCACCUUCUUUUUAUCGGAGACGCCAAGCCACUUCUUGAUAAGCUCGAAAACUUUCUCAUCGCGUAAUAGUCCCCUGUGACCAGCCUGAACUCCUACUCUUUCCACUGCUUCACAAUUAUCAGCCAUUGCUGAUUC